UGAAAUUUAUUUUGAGUGAGGUGGGACAGAAAUGAUAUUUUUGCAAAAUUUAUUUCGUCGUCCCACCCCAACUCGCAUUGCCUGUAGAAUUUCAUUUCGAAAUUCUCUAUGUUGGGGCCCCUGACUUUAAUUGAAAAAAGCUUGUUACAAGUGCAUUUUCGUUCGGUUAACUACUACUAAUGUGACUUUUUGGAUUCUAGAGCAUUGAUUUAU
rnacentral:ncRNA from 1 species